rnacentral:lncRNA from 1 species
CUAGCUAUAGUUAUCCCGAACACAUCCAUUCUUGCCUCGAAAUCUAGAAGAAAACCAAAGUACUUUAAAAAUCCUUAAUAGAGAAAUAGUUUGACUAAUUGGAGAAAUUCAAGAUCUCAACUUGCAAGGCAAGUCCACCUUGGUUUACUUAUUUACAAAGUACUUUAAAAAUUCUUAAUAGAGAAAUAGUUUGACUAAUUGGAGAAAUUCAUGAUCUCAACUUGCAAGGCAAGUCCACCUUGAUUUACUUAUUUAAGCUUAGCAAACAAUGAUCAUCCUCCCACUCAAUUAAAAAAAAUAGAGAAUGAACAAGUUCAGAUCGAUCGAUCACAGUGCUUAUUCCAAUGCACAUGCCUUUCAAUGCAUUUAGUCUGUUUUUUUUUUGUGAAGGAACGUAAUAUAAUACCCUGCUCCAAAAUCUGUAUGCUUUUCAAUGCAUUUAGUACCGUUUUCCUAUCGGAAGGAAGGAAUGUACCCGCUUCAAAAUCUGCUUGCGGCCUAGCUCCUCACAUGGAACGUGUCCUCAUAUUCAUAGCAUCUCUCCUACACUUUUCGUUCUCGCUUCAUGUAGAUAAGUGCUAUGUUUGGAACGCUGAUCCUCACCCCCUAAACUUCCAAGGAGCUACUAAACACACUAGCUACAAUCAUAACUUGACCAUAUGGGCCAACAACUACUACACUAAGGAAUAUUAGGUUAGGGUAUUACAUUCACCCUAUUUUACUUAAGGGCUCACACCCUCAUCAGCUCACCACAUAUUAGCAUACUCUAAGAAUCACCACUCGGUACAUAGCUAUGCCAUGGGCCUAGCCACACGCGCACAUGCAUGUCGUGGAUCU